UCCCUCUUGCAGGCCAGUGCUCUCUUCAGGGUGCUGCUGCUGCUCUGAACACUCAAUCUGCAUGAAUCUGUGGUGGAGGACAGAGCAGACAGUGGUUGCAUCAGCUGGACUAAGUCUAGGAAAAUGAGAAGUAGUUCAAAGGGGAGGGAGAAGAAUUCUUGAAUGAAAGGAGCUUGAGAAUUUGCAUUGGAGAGAAUCUGAAGACUCUGGUUCUGCUUUAACUGAACUGCUUGGCUGGGGUUCGUUCCACUCUGAAAAUACCACAGUGAGGGUGUGAGGAGGGAUUACAUCAAACACGUAAUUACCCCAAGGGUGUUCCGUCAGCCCCAUUUUGGACAGUGGUUUCAGUCACAGCACCAUCCCCAGUUCCUGCUGGUGAUACAUUGCUUCUCACAUCAUCAGUGUUCACUACAUAACAUUCUAUUUCUGCCAGAUGGGCUCAGCAGUUUCAAUGCUUAGAUGACUCUAGACAAGGAUUUUUCCCCUGUGUUAAUCUGAAACUCCACAAGUCGAAUGCUUGAAUGCUUUUUUCAGCUAUACACAAAUCUUUGCCUGU